CAGCUCCAUCAGGGUAGCUUUGCAUGGGAACUAAACAGAAUUCCUGACUCGGGUUCCGGGUUCCCUCACUCAGCACCACUGGCACGGGGCACACCUGGAGAUGGGAAAAAACUUUCUCACGCUGCUAAACUUUUCUGGAAUAUUGGCCAAGUAGUGCUGGAAACAAGCUUUGGGCCAAGGGACUUGGAGGGGGUCAGACCAUCCCACUGAUACUCCCAGGGCAUCCUGCUCCAGCACAUGCUGGUUCCCAUGGACACCCACAAAAGAGGGAGCUCCUGAAUGCAGCUCACGGUGGGUCACUCCCAGGAAAAGACCAGGCCUUGCCAGUGGCAUCACUGGUGAUGCCAAGUAGGUGCCAAAAGGAUUUAUACCUUUCCAGCUGCCAAGGAGAAGGAAACUCCUCUGUAACAUGAGCCCAGCACACACCACACAGAAGCACUUACUGCCAGCAGCACCAGGGGUACAUGGGCACGUGGCAGGACCUGCUUUUUACACCAAAGCAGCUUCUCCAUAGCCUCCUGAGCAGCUCCUGAGGUCCUUCUCCUAGCACCCCAGGCUUCUCUGCUGCUCAACGGUGCUCUAGGACCCUUCAGAGAACACCAACCUCAGCCCUGGGUUUUGCCCCUCCACCUCCUCUUCAGGUUGUCUGCAGAGGCUGUGCAGGCUCCAUCCUUGGACAUAUUCCAAAACCAACCAGGCAUAGUCCUGAGCUCCCUGCUCUGGGUGUCCCCGCCUGAGUUGAUCCCCAGAGGCACCUGCCAGCACUACCCACUGUGUGGGCUCCUGUUUCAUUGUAAGUUCAUCCGAAAAUGUGUACAACCAACAUGAAUUUUAUCUCUUUCUUGCCAUCUCCAACCUCUGAUCAGGUUUCACGAGUGUCUUACACCCUCUAACCUGCUAGUUGUCCUCCAAUAGCUUCACACUGUUCUCCUGGGAGAGGGGAAAACAGGGUUGGCACAAAAAGCCACAGGGAUGUGCCUCCUGUAAAUGCCAAGAAUGACUGA